rnacentral:sRNA from 1 species
GGGUGAGGUAGGACCGGCGGAGAGGUCGGCACCGCCCCAGGACCCUGUCCGCAGGAGCAGCACAGCAGGCAGCUGCAGGAGCAGUGGGAGGAGCUGUCGAGUCAGCUCUUCUACUACGGAGGAGAACCGCAGAGCCAGAAGAGCACGGAGCAGCAACUCGCAGCCCAGUUGGUGACGCUGCAGAAUGAACUGGAGCUGGCGGAGACCAAAUGCGCCUUGCAGGAGGAGAAGCUGCAGCAGGGCGCGCUGCAGACAGCGGAGGCCUGGGCCAUAUUCCAGGAGCAGACCGUAGUCCUGCAGGAGGUGCAGGUGAAGGUGAUGGAGGCUGCGGAGGAGCUGGACGCCUGGCAGAGUGGCCGGGAACUGUAAGGGAGUUGGGCCUGCGGGCGCGGCGGGGCACUGUGGGGCCGGGCUGGGCUCCCACCUGCAUGCCUGUUCCCGCAGGUGUGACGGGCAGCUUCGCGGAGUGCAGUACAGCACCGAGUCGCUCAUGGAGGAGAUGGCCAGGGCGGACCGAGAGACGCGGCUGUUCGGCGGUCCUCGCGCGCUGGCCAUCAGGUGCUGCUGACGCUGCCGCUCCUCUUCCUGGGGCUGUCGCUGCUCUGGACGGUGCUGUUGGACCCCGGCGCCGUCUCCGCGUGGCUCUGGAGCCUCACCUCGGAGACGACGCUGCGCCGCCUGCGCUACACGCUGUCCCCGCUGCUGGAGCUGCGCGCUAACGGGCUGCUGCCAACCUAAGUGCAGCGCCCCGCGCCUGGCUCCAGGUGGACGCCAGGGCACCUGGCUUUAUUUCUGGUGCACUCCUCUCCUGAGAGUGUAGACCAAGGUCGCCUAAUAAACUCCUC